GCGCGGGGCUCCAUGGGAGACGACAGGGUGAGGUCACAGAGGAGCCUCCAAGGGGCCGGUCUACACGACAAGCGCGGGUAAAUGCCUACAGCACAAAGUGUAACACGCCAUAAGAAAGGUACAGAUAAAGCACUCUGGAUUCAGAGGCAGAAGAGACCAACUUCAACUAAGGGACUCACUGACACGACUGUCACAUGGUGCUUAAUGACCAAAGGACCAUUCUGCUGGUCAUAAUGCUAAACAUACAACUCAAGGAACUGCGCUGUAUUUUACAUUACCAUUGUCCUCAUGAUGGAAAAUGAAGUGAGUAGAGGAGAAGUUAAGGUUGCAGGGUGCCGACUAACUCUCAGAAAGACAAGAAGAGGUACGACGGUGAUGCUUGGUGACAUCACAGGCAGGAAAUGCGGUGAGUGGGCUGCAAAUAGACAGGAAAGCACAACAGAGUGAACCUUAGUAGGGAAAAGCUGGAAGGAAAUCCUGCAAGAACCCAACUCCGCAGCUCAGUCUGCACUAAUGACUUCCUUCCCUCCGGAGCAAGCACAGCCUGCCCAGCUCCAGCCACAUGAACAAACGCUUCUGGGUCUUAGUGCCACGACAUCAGCUCACCGCAAAAAGUAAAGAAUGCAGUUUCAGAGGCACCCAAUGGCUCCUAAGGAAACGCAGCCGGAAGGAUCUACAAGAUGAGGUUACUGAGAUUCAGAGGAAUCACUUGCUCAACCAAGACCACACAUAUAGAACAUGAUGGGGCUGGAAUUCAGACCUACAAGGAACUUACACCAAAGACUAUGCCCUUUUGAUGGUGAGCAACAUAGCUACGUGCCAGCCUAAGUCUAUGAAGAACCAACUACUUAAGCAUCUAUUAUUCGUCAGACUCUUUGGUAAUCACUACAACUAUGAAUAAGAGGCUCUUGGGAAAAGUACAUAAUU